CUUCAACCUAGAGAAGAAUAUAGUUCCCUUCUUGCUGUGCCUUCAACCUAGAGAAGAAUAUAGUUCCCUUCUUGCUGUGCCUUCAACCUAGAGAAGAAUAUAGUUCCCUUCUUGCUGUGCCUUCAACCUAGAGAAGAAUAUAGUUCCCUUCUUGCUGUGCCUUCAACCUAGAGAAGACUAUAGUUCCCUUCUUACUGAGCAUCCUUGUCUGCUGAAGAAUAGAGGUUCUAUUUUGCUGUGUCUUUGUCCACAGAGGAAUAGAGGUUCUGUCUGCAUGUAUCUUUGUUCACAGAGGAAUAGAGAUGACCAUGCUGUAUUAUUGUCAACAGAACCAUAGGGCUCCUUCUUGCUGUCUUUUUACCCAGAGAG